rnacentral:rRNA from 1 species
GACGAACGCUGGCGGCGUGCCUAAUACAUGCAAGUCGAACGCAGUGGGGACGGGUGAGUAACACGUGGGUAACCUCCCAUCAGAGGGGAUAACACUUGGAAACAGGUGCUAAACCGAUACUGAUGGAUGGACCCGCGGUACAUCAGCCAGUGGGUGGGGUAACUGCUCACCAAGGCCACGAUGCAUAGCCGCCCUGAGAGUGUGAUCGGCCACACUGGGACUGAGACACUGCCCAGACUCCUACGGGAGGCAGCAGUAGGGAAUCUUCGGCAAUGGACGAAAGUCUGACCGAGCAACGCCGCGUGGGUGAAGAAGGUUUUCGGAUCGUAAAACUCUGUUGUUGGAGAAGCGGUAUCUAACCAGAAAGCCACGGCUAACUACGUGCCAGCAGCCGCGGUAAUUC